GGUCAAGCUAAUUAGGGCUAAUGGUGGAUACCUAGGCACACAGAGGCGAAGAAGGACGUAGUUACCGACGAAACGCUCCGGGGAGCUGGAAGCAAGCGACUGAUCCGGAGAUAUCCGAAUGGGGCAACCCCAAGUACUGCCUGUUGAAUAUAUAGACAGGUCAGAGCCAACCCAGCGAACUGAAACAUCUUAGUAGCUGGAGGAAGAGAAAGAAAUUUCGAUUUCCCAAGUAGUGGUGAGCGAACGGGAAACAGCCUAAACCAACGAGUUUACUUGUUGGGGUCGUGGGACAGCAAUAUCGAAUCUAGCGGUUAGACGAAGCAGAUAAAUACUGCACCAAAGAAGGUGAGAGUCCUGUAGUCGAAAACUUAAGGAUAGUAGCUGAAUCCCGAGUAGCAUGGGACACGAGAAAUCCCAUGUGAAUCUGCGAGGACCAUCUCGUAAGGCUAAAUACUACUGUGUGACCGAUAGUGAACCAGUACCGCGAGGGAAAGGUGAAAAGAACCCCGAUAAGGGGAGUGAAAUAGAACAUGAAACCAUUAGCCUACAAGUAGUGGAAGGACGAUUUAACGUCUAACCGCGUGCCUGUUGAAGAAUGAGCCGGCGAGUUAUAAGCAGUGGUAGGUUAAGUCAGAGACGUAGCCAAAGCGAAAGCGAGUCUGAAAGGGGCGUUAAUCACUGUUUAUAGACCCGAACCCGGGUGAUCUAACCAUGUCCAGGAUGAAGCUUGGGUAACACCAAGUGGAGGUCCGAACCGACCGAUGUUGAAAAAUCGGCGGAUGAGGUGUGGUUAGGGGUGAAAUGCCAAUCGAACCCGGAGCUAGCUGGUUCUCCCCGAAAUGUGUUUAGGCGCAGCGGUAACGAAUAUAUCUGGGGGGUAAAGCACUGUUGAGGUGCGGGCUGGGAGACCGGUACCAAAUCUCGGCAAACUCAGAAUACCCAGAGCACACGUUGCCAGUGAGACGGUGGGGGAUAAGCUUCAUCGUCAAGAGGGAAACAGCCCAGACCACCAGCUAAGGUCCCCAAAUCAUCGCUAAGUGGUAAAGGAGGUGAGAGUGCACAGACAACCAGGAGGUUUGCCUAGAAGCAGCCACCCUUGAAAGAGUGCGUAAUAGCUCACUGGUCAAGCGCUCUUGCGCCGAAAAUGAACGGGACUAAGCGAUGUACCGAAGCUGUGGAUUUAGCAAAAUGCUAACUGGUAGGGGAGCGUUCCGUUGUAGGUAGAAGCAGUAGCGGCAAGCAGCUGUGGACGAAACGGAAGUGAGAAUGUCGGCUUGAGUAGCGAAAACAUUGGUGAGAAUCCAAUGCCCCGUAACCCCAAGGGUUCCAGAGCCAGGUUCGUCCGCUCUGGGUUAGUCGGGACCUAAGGCGAGGCCGAAAGGCGUAGUCGAUGGACACAGGGUCAACAAUCCCUGACUAUUGAGUGGGAGCAUAUUAAGGGACGCAUGACGAUAAGCCACACCCUAAUUGGAUUGGGAAGGGUCUACGGACUCUGCGUGGUGAACAAUAGUGCCAAGAAAAGCUUGAUAUGUGAUGAAAGCUCAAUACCCGUACCCUAAACCGACACAGGUGGGGAGGUUGAGAAUACCAAGGGGCGCGAGAUAACUCUCUCUAAGGAACUCGGCAAAAUUGCCCCGUAACUUCGGAAUAAGGGGUGCCCACGCAAGUGGGUUGCAGUGAAGAGGCCCAGGCGACUGUUUACCAAAAACACAGGUCUCCGCCAACUCGUAAGAGGACGUAUGGGGGCUGACGCCUGCCCAGUGCCGGAAGGUUAAAGAAGUUGGUCAGGGGGAAACCCUAAAGCUGACGACUGAAGCCCCGGUGAACGGCGGCCGUAACUAUAACGGUCCUAAGGUAGCGAAAUUCCUUGUCGGGUAAGUUCCGACCCGCACGAAAGGCGUAACGAUCUGGGCGCUGUCUCGGAGAGAGACUCGGCGAAAUAAGAAUGUCUGUGAAGAUACGGACUACCUGCACCUGGACAGAAAGACCCUAUGAAGCUUUACUGUAGCCUGUAAUUGGUUACUGGUUCUGACUACGCAGUAUAGGUGGGAGGCAUUGAAAGUUCCCUUGUGGGGGGACUGGAGCCGACAGUGAGAUACCACUUUGUCAGAACUGGGAGCCUAACCGGGAGCCGUUAUCCGGCACUGGGACAGUUUCAGGUGGGCAGUUUGACUGGGGCGGUCGCCUCCUAAAAGGUAACGGAGGCGCACAAAGGUUCCCUCAGCACGGUUGGAAAUCGUGCGUAGAGUGUAAAGGCAAUAAGGGAGCUUGACUGCAAGAGUCACAACUCGAGCAGGGUGGAAACACGGUCUUAGUGAUCCGACGGCACAGCGUGGAAUGGCCGUCGCUCAACGGAUAAAAGUUACUCUAGGGAUAACAGGCUGAUCUCCGCCAAGAGUUCACAUCGACGCGGAGGUUUGGCACCUCGAUGUCGGCUCAUCGCAACCUGGGGCGGAAGUACGUCCCAAGGGUUGGGCUGUUCGCCCAUUAAAGCGGUACGUGAGCUGGGUUCAGAACGUCGUGAGACAGUUCGGUCCAUAUCCGGUGCAGGCGCAAGAGCAUUGAGAGGAGUCCUCCUUAGUACGAGAGGACCGGGAGGAACGCACCGCUGGUGUACCAGUUAUCGUGCCAACGGUAAACGCUGGGUAGCCAAGUGCGGAGUGGAUAACCGCUGAAAGCAUCUAAGUGGGAAGCCCACCUUAAGAUGAGUGCUCUCAUGGCAUAAGCCAGUAAGGUCACAGGUAGAUUACCUGUUGAUAGGCGGUAGGUGGAAGUGCAGUAAUGUAUGCAGCCGAGCCGUGCUAACAGACCGAGGGCUUGACCUC
rnacentral:rRNA from 1 species